rnacentral:rRNA from 1 species
UACGUAGGGUGCGAGCGUUAAUCGGAAUUACUGGGCGUAAAGCGUGCGCAGGCGGUUCGUUGUGUCGGUGGUGAAAGCCCCGGGCUUAACCUGGGAAUGGCCAUGGAAACUGGCGAACUGGAGUGUGGCAGAGGGGGGUGGAAUUCCGCGUGUAGCAGUGAAAUGCGUAGAGAUGCGGAGGAACACCGGAUGGCGAAGGCAGCCCCCUGGGCUGACACUGACGCUCAGGCACGAAAGCGUGGGGAGCAAACAGG